rnacentral:rRNA from 1 species
UGAACGCUGGCGGCGUGCUUAACACAUGCAAGUCGAACGGAAAGGCCCUGCUUUUGUGGGGUGCUCGAGUGGCGAACGGGUGAGUAACACGUGAGUAACCUGCCCUUGACUUUGGGAUAACUUCAGGAAACUGGGGCUAAUACCGGAUAGGAGCUCCUGCUGCAUGGUGGGGGUUGGAAAGUUUCGGCGGUUGGGGAUGGACUCGCGGCUUAUCAGCUUGUUGGUGGGGUAGUGGCUUACCAAGGCUUUGACGGGUAGCCGGCCUGAGAGGGUGACCGGCCACAUUGGGACUGAGAUACGGCCCAGACUCCUACGGGAGGCAGCAGUGGGGAAUAUUGCACAAUGGGCGGAAGCCUGAUGCAGCAACGCCGCGUGCGGGAUGACGGCCUUCGGGUUGUAAACCGCUUUCGCCUGUGACGAAGCGUGAGUGACGGUAAUGGGUAAAGAAGCACCGGCUAACUACGUG